rnacentral:misc_RNA from 1 species
GAUGAAGAACGUAGUGAAAUGCGAUAAGUAGUGUGAAUUGCAGAAUUCAGUGAAUCAUCGAAUCUUUGAACGCACAUUGCGCCCGCCAGCAUUCUGGCGGGCAUGCCUGUUCGAGCGUCAUUUCAACCCUCGACUUCCCUUUGGGGAAAUCGGCGUUGGGGACCGGCUGUAUACCGCCGGCCCCGAAAUGAAGUGGCGGCCCGUCCGCGGCGACCUCUGCGUAGUAAUCCAACUCGCACCGGAACCCCGACGUGGCCACGCCGUAAAACCCCCGACUUCUGAACGUUGACCUCGGAUCAGGUAGGAAUACCCGCUGAACUUAAGCAUAUCAAUAAGCGGAGGA